rnacentral:rRNA from 1 species
UCUAGCAUGUGCGCGAGUCAUUGGGACUCUUACGAAACCUAAAGGCGCAAUGAAAGUGAAGGUCCGCCCAGCGCGGACCGAGGGAGGAUGGGCGGUCCCGAGGGACCGCCCCGCACUCCCGGGGCGUCUCGUUCUCAUCGCGAGAAGAGGCGCACCCAGAGCGUACACGCUGGGACCCGAAAGAUGGUGAACUAUGCCUGGUCAGGACGAAGUCAGGGGAAACCCUGAUGGAGGUCCGUAGCGAUUCUGACGUGCAAAUCGAUCGUCGGAACUGGGUAUAGGGGCGAAAGACUAAUCGAACCAUCUAGUAGCUGGUUCCCUCCGAAGUUUCCCUCAGGAUAGCUGGCGCUCGCUUCUCGCGAGUCUCAUUCGGUAAAGCGAAUGAUUAGAGGCAUUGGGGUCGAAACGGCCUCAACCUAUUCUCAAACUUUAAAUGGGUGAGAUCUCCGGCUUGCUUGAACUGUUCAACUUUGAAGCCGCGAGAUAUCGGAUCAGAGUGCCAAGUGGGCCACUUUUGGUAAGCAGAACUGGCGCUGUGGGAUGAACCAAACGCUGAGUUAAAGCGCCUAAAUCGACGCUUAUGGGAUACCAUGAAAGGCGUUGGUAACUUAAGACAGCAGGAC